UGGUAUCAGAGUAUGCAGUUGUCCAGAUUGUGGCGGUGUUGAUCAAGGUUGAAGAAGAUGGAGAAGAUAGGCUCAAUCAAGAUAGAGAUCAAUAGGUAUGAUGGAAAGAGUAAUUUCUCCAUAUGACAAACAAAGGUGAAGGAUGUGCUCAUCCAAAAAAGAUUGAUUGAUGCUCUCUUGUACGAGAAGAAGCCUACUACCAUGGAGGA
rnacentral:lncRNA from 1 species